UACGUAGGUGGCGAGCGUUGUCCGGAUUUAUUGGGCGUAAAGCGAGCGCAGGUGGUUUGUUAAGUCUGGUGUAAAAGGCAGUGGCUCAACCAUUGUAUGCAUUGGAAACUGGUAGACUUGAGUGCAGGAGAGGAGAGUGGAAUUCCAUAUGUAGCGGUGAAAUGCGUAGAUAUAUGGAGGAACACCGGUGGCGAAAGCGGCUCUCUGGCCUGUAACUGACACUGAGGCUCGAAAGCGUGGGGAGCAAACAGG
rnacentral:rRNA from 1 species